rnacentral:rRNA from 1 species
GACGAACGCUGGCGGCGUGCCUAAUACAUGCAAGUAGAACGCUGAAGAGAGGAGCUUGCUCUUCUUGGAUGAGUUGCGAACGGGUGAGUAACGCGUAGGUAACCUGCCUUGUAGCGGGGGAUAACUAUUGGAAACGAUAGCUAAUACCGCAUAACAAUGGAUGACACAUGCCAUUUAUUUGAAAGGGGCAAUUGUUCCACUACAAGAUGGACCUGCGUUGUAUUAGCUAGUAGGUGAGGUAAUGGCUCACCUAGGCGACGAUACAUAGCCGACCUGAGAGGGUGAUCGGCCACACUGGGACUGAGACACGGCCCAGACUCCUACGGGAGGCAGCAGUAGGGAAUCUUCGGCAAUGGGGGCAACCCUGACCGAGCAACGCCGCGUGAGUGAAGAAGGUUUUCGGAUCGUAAAGCUCUGUUGUAAGUCAAGAACGGGUGUGAGAGUGGAAAGUUCACACUGUGACGGUAGCUUACCAGAAAGGGACGGCUAACUACGUG